rnacentral:rRNA from 1 species
AGUGAACGUUGGCGGCGUGGAUUAGGCUUGCAAGUCGAGCGAGAACCGUAGCAAUACGGGGACAGCGGCGAAAGGGACAGUAAUGUGUAGGUACCUACCCCCGGGUUCGGGAUAGCUGCGGGAAACUGCAGGUAAUACCGAAUAAUGUCUCCGGACCAAAGAUGUGAUUCCACCUGGGGAGGGGCCUGCAUCCUAUUAGCUUGUUGGUGGGGUAACGGCCUACCAAGGCGACGAUGGGUAGCGGGUGUGAGAGCAUGACCCGCGUCAUUGGGACUGAGACACUGCCCAGACACCUACGGGUGGCUGCAGUCGAGAAUCUUCGGCAAUGGGCGCAAGCCUGUCCGAGCGACGCCGCGUGCGGGAUGAAGGCCUUCGGGUUGUAAACCGCUGUCGUAGAGGAGGAAAUGCAGGGGGGUUCUCCCCUUUGCUUGACCUAUUCUAGGAGGAAGUACGGGCUAAGUUCGUGCCAGCCGCCGCCGUAA